CUUAUUGUCUGAUUUUCAGUCCCCUGUCAUUUAAUUAAUUAUCCUAAUGUUCUUCACCUGGAUGUUUGUUACUCUGCCCUCACUCACGUAACCCCUCCUUGAUUGUUACCUUCCCCAGUGUAUAAAUGUCAGUCUUUUCCACCAGCUCCCUCUCAGAACGUUGAUCAUAUUCACUACCGAUGUUUUGUAAGCCUUUGUUUAUUGAGAUUCCUGAGACCCCCUUUCCGUACGACCUCGAGUUUGCCUGUCCCUUUUGUUUGAUUGCUUUCUGGUUUGACCUUCGCUUUGUUUUGACUUCUCUUCUGCCUGUUCCUUUGUACCUUCGCCUAUCUGAUCUCCUGGUUUUUUAUUUUUUGCCUGUUUACCACUAUUCUUUUGGAAACUCGAUUUUGUACCGUCCUAUCUCUGAUUACCUGGCUUUGAACUUUGGACUGAAUAAAGACAACGUUUUUUGGAUUUCCCUGGUCUCCGUUUGGGUCCUUACACAGAACAUAACCGAUCCUCCUGGGAGACUUCAACAUCCACCUUGAUGCCUCCCACUCCGCAGCCUUCCUGCCCCUACUCCACUCAUUCGAUCUCUCCCUGAUGCACUCCCCACCAACACGCAAAGCUGGCAACCUCCUAGACCUGGUCAUCCUGAGGAAUUGCUGCUCCUCCGAUCCCGCAGUGACCCCUCUGCACCAGUCCGACCACCACUUCAUUUCCUUCUCCCUCCCUCUUGCUCCCCUCCCUCCCUCCCCUCCAUCCACUCCUACUGUCAUGGUCCACCGUAACCUCCACUCCCUCUCUCCCUCCUCUCUCGCUUCUAGUGUCACUGCUUCACUCCCCACUCUUGAAUCUUUGUCCAACCUUCCCACUGACUCUGCAUCCUCCGCUCUGUCUUCCUCGCUUUCCUCAGCACUUGACUCUCUGUCCUCUAGUCUCCAGGCUGGCACGCUCGUCCCCUCCCAGUCCAUGGAUGUCUGACCCCCUCCGAACCAACCGUGCCAGCCUGAAUACGAAGACGUUUACUCCCCUGGUGUCCGAAUCUGCCCUUCCGAGAAGCGUCUUUCACAACUACACCGCCCGGGAUGUGUCUGCAGAAAACUGUGACUGCCUUAAUGGCGGCUGGUGCAGGGAGGGGGGAGACUGUGACUGCUCCCAGUUUCAGGGCCUGGGAGAGCGCUGUCAGAUCAGAUUGUAUAUUUAUUCCAUAUUGUGGCAUCAUGAGAGGGCGUGUCAUUGAUGGGAGGUACGUCCCCUCAAAAUGGCUGCAACGCACUACAAAACAGAUGGCUGUCGCACAAGAAGACUACAACAACCGGGUCGCCGCCGACUAAAGCCGGCUGCGGCUAAUCGACUUGGUGGCGGGUUUAUUUAAGGAGGCCUUCUCUGAAGGGAGGGGGUUAGACGUGAAGUGAUUGUGUGCUUGUCUAAGUGAAGCUUUGUAAACUAUUACUUUGGUGGUCGUGAAACUUUCUGUUACCUUUUAAGACUGCAUUGUUAAAACUUUUUGGUUGAUUAUUAAAAAGCCCACCACAUUUUGGAAAACUGCGUGGACCUGCUUUUGUUUGAGCGCCCCCACACGCUGAUGAAGAUUCCCAGCCUCAUGAUGCCACAAUAUUUAACCACAAAUAUUCAGUGAGUAGCAUUUUCAUUGUUAUCGGCAUACCUUUAGGCUAUUGUUCGCUUUCUUGUUGCUUUGAUGGAAUUUGAAUUUUAGGCAGUGAAAAAAUAUAUUUUUUGCACUCCCAGAUAGAUGCUAUUGUCCAGUGUGUCAUGCCUGGGGAGUAUUGUUGCAGAUGAGACUGCAGGGAGGAGGUGCUUAUGAAAUGGACAAUUGUGGCACUUUGAAACUCUGUAUUUUGCAUCAGUGUCUUGUAUUGUAUCCUAAAGGCUGAAAUCCUGAA